rnacentral:rRNA from 1 species
GAACCCCGUCUUUGACACGGACUGCCUGUACAUUAUGGUGUGCUCUCGAAGAGUCGAGUUGUUUGGGAAUGCAGCUCAAAAUGGGUGGUAAAUGCCAUCUAAAGCUAAAUAUUGGCGAGAGACCGAUAGCGAACAAGUACCGUGAGGGAAAGAUGAAAAGAACUUUGGAAAGAGAGUUAAACAGUACGUGAAAUUGCUGAAAGGGAAACGCUUGAAGUCAGUCGCGUUGGCUAGAAAUCAACCUUGCUUUUGCUUUGUGUACUUUCUGGUUGACGGGUCAGCAUCAAUUUUGACCACUGGAUAAAGUCUUUGGGAAUGUGGCAUCUUCGGAUGUGUUAUAGCCCAUUGUCGCAUACGGUGGUUGGGAUUGAGGAACUCAGCACGCCGCAAGGCCGGGUUUCGACCACGUUCGUGCUUAGGAUGCUGGCAUAAUGGCUUUAAUCGACCCGUCUUGAAACACGGACCAAGGAGUCUAACAUGCCUGCGAGUGUUUGGGUGGAAAAACCCAUGCGCGCAAUGAAAGUGAAAGUUGAGAUCCUCUUCAAAGGGGGAGCAUUGACGCCCGGACCAGACCUUUUGUGACGGAUCCGCGGUAGAGCAUGCAUGUUGGGACCCGAAAGAUGGUGAACUAUGCCUGAAUAGGGUGAAGCCAGAGGAAACCCUGGUGGAGGCUCGUAGCGAUUCUGACGUGCAAAUCGAUCGUCAAAUUUGGGUAUAGGGGCGAAAGACUAAUCGAACCAUCUAGUAGCUGGUUCCUGCC